AUUUAUAUAUAAUAAUUAAAUAUUCAUUUGACACAUGAUGUGUAUUCAAUAUUUAACAAAUAUUGGACGAUAUUAGAGACCAGGCCCGGCGGGCCGAGCCGUAUAUUUUAAAAAAUGUGGGCCGAGCCUGAAAUUUUUUUUUGAAAUAGCCGGGCAGGGCCAUGCAAAUUGUACCUCUGCAGGUCUCUGAUAUAUAUUGUAAGUUUUAAAAAACUGUUCCAGUACUUUGAUAUUCCUGUUAAAAAUCUAUUCAAAAUUCAAGGAUUCACCAAAGUAAAAAGAGGAUUAAUUACGUUACACACCGUGAAGAUGCCGACAUAAGCCCCCUUUUGACGUAAUGGUAAAUGCUCAGAUAGAGUCAAUCAAAUCCAAUGGAUACUAUGCUUGUCAAAUUUUGGCAGAUACUAAUCAUCUAAUAUUUGGCAAUGAAAUGAACCUUGAAAUUAUUCUCACAUCAGGAAGUCCAAAAGAAGAAUAAAACUCUAAUCAAAUCAAAAUCCUGAGAAACUUUUAUUAGUUUUUGUCAGACCUUUCGGUUCCAAUUUCUACACGGUUUUCGAAUUCCGUUUUAUUUUCGGUUUCAUCGGUUAAAGAAUUUGGCGAUACGAGUUCGGUUAAUAAUAAUCGAAAACUUAUUAGGAAUACACAAGAGCCAGGCCUAAAAAACCCCGACCGUUGCAACAAAUUUAAUAGACUGGUUCAGAUGGAAUUUUUAAAAAGAUAAUAUAUAUAAUAUAAUAUAAUGAACAUACACGAAUUGUAUUAUAAAAUUACACGCAGGGCAUAAAAGGUGUUAG